CUACGGGAGGCAGCAGUGAGGAAUAUUGGUCAAUGGACGCAAGUCUGAACCAGCCAUGCCGCGUGAAGGAUGAAGGCCUUCUGGGUUGUAAACUUCUUUUACCUGGGAAGAAAACUACGAUUUCUAUCGUAGCCGACGGUACCAGAGGAAUAAGCACCGGCUAACUCCGUGCCAGCAGCCGCGGUAAUACGGAGGGUGCAAGCGUUAUCCGGAUUUACUGGGUUUAAAGGGUGUGUAGGCGGGCUUUUAAGUCAGUGGUGAAAUCUCCGGGCUCAACCUGGAAACUGCCAUUGAUACUAUUAGUCUUGAAUUUUGUUGAGGUAGGCGGAAUAAGUCAUGUAGCGGUGAAAUGCUUAGAUAUGACUUAGAACACCAAUUGCGAAGGCAGCUUGCUAAACAAAUAUUGACGCUGAGGCACGAAAGCGUGGGGAUCAAACAGGAUUAGAUACCCCAGUAGUCC
rnacentral:rRNA from 1 species